rnacentral:misc_RNA from 1 species
GCCCUGGUUGACAAUGGUGGCCAGCCGGUGAGGGAUGAGUCCACCGGAAAUUCAGCUACCCCGCUGGAGUUCGGUGCUGGACAUAUGAAUCUCGGCCGAGCUAUGGAUCCUGGGCUAGUGUAUGACCUUGGAGAUACUGAUUAUGUCAACUUCCUGUGUUCUCUAGGGUAUGAGGCUGAUACAAUUCAGGUUAUCACGCACACACCGGUAAGCUGCCCGGCGAGGAAGCUGGCCACCGAUAACCUGAACUACCCUUCGAUAUCGAUGGCAUUCGAUGGGACGGGGAAUGCAAGCAGGGCGGUAGUGAGGACGGUAACGAAUGUGGGGACGGCAGCGGCGGUGUACCGAGUGAGAGUGCAGGUGGUCGGGAAAGGGGUGGCAGUGGCGGUGAAGCCGAGGAAGCUGGUGUUUGCGGCGGGUGUGGCGCGGCGGAGCUAUGCGGUGAUGAUAACGGCUUCGGAGGGUGGAGAAGGGUACGGUUACCUUACUUGGUCGGAUGGGAGCCACGAGGUGAGGAGCUCGAUCGUGGUGUCGAGGAUCCAGCCUUUGUGAGGUUGUUGGGCAACCGGAGUCGGGUGAGAGUCCGGUAGUGUACGGAGAAAAAUAGCUGCUAGGGGGAGUGAAGUGUGUGAUAGUGGGUUUAUUUAGUGUUGGG